CACGCCGUAAACGUUGGGCACUAGGUGUGGGGCCUUUUCAACGGGUUCCGUGCCGUAGCUAACGCAUUAAGUGCCCCGCCUGGGGAGUACGGCCGCAAGGCUAAAACUCAAAGGAAUUGACGGGGGCCCGCACAAGCGGCGGAGCAUGUUGCUUAAUUCGAGGCAACGCGAAGAACCUUACCUGGGUUUGACAUGUAGGGAAAAGCCACAGAGAUGUGGUGUCCUUCGGGGUCCUACGCAGGUGG
rnacentral:rRNA from 1 species